rnacentral:rRNA from 1 species
UAUCUCUGUAGAGUCUGCAUAUCAAUAAGCGGAGGAAAAGAAACUAACUAGGAUUCCCUCAGUAACGGCGAGUGAAGCGGGAAGAGCUCAAAUUUGAAAUCUUCAAGGUUCUACCUUGACGAAUUGUAGUUUAAAGAAGUGUUUUCUGUUGGUGUUUUGGUAAAAGUUCUUUGGAAUAGGACAUCAUAGAGGGUGAGAAUCCCGUAUUUGACCAUUACUUCCAGCGUUGUGAUACACUUUCAAAGAGUCGGAUUGUUUGGGAAUGCAGUCCAAAAUGGGUGGUAAAUUUCAUCUAAAGCUAAAUAUUGGCGAGAGACCGAUAGCGAACAAGUACCGUGAGGGAAAGAUGAAAAGAACUUUGAAAAGAGAGUUAAACAGUACGUGAAAUUGUCAAAAGGGAAGCGUCUGACACCAGUGUUGUUUUCUCGAAAAUCAAUUAAAAAAAGUUGGAUUUUGUAUUGUUAAGACCUUAUCAGCUUACUGUACUCUUUUCUUGCUUUUUUUAAUGCACUUUUCGUUUAACAAGUCAACAUCAAUUUCUUUUGUUGUAAAAGAGUCAUUGGAAGGUGGCUUUCACUUCGGUGAAAGUGUUUAUAGCCUUUGGCCUUCUGCAAUCGGAGAGAUUGAGGUCUGCAGCGUAGAUCCUUCGGGGUUAGAUACAGUUAGAUGCUAAGUUAUAGUCCUUUUCAUAGACAACUUGUUGACUAUAAUCAGUCAUGUAGCUUACUCGCUUAUGCGCUAUUUUACCUACGCUUAGGAUGUUGAAGUCAUCGUAUCGCGC